AGCCUUUCUUGGAAUGCUCUGUAAAUUAUUGGCGCUUUUUGUCCUUCAAUGCUGCUUGCAUUUGAUAAUCCUACUCUGUUUUUGUGAUGAAAAAGAAUACCCAGAUUAUGUUGCUUAGAUUUUUGCUUCAAUUUAAUUUCUACAUAGCAGAUUUUGCUUUAAGUACAGCUCUCUCUCUCUAUCUCUGUUCUUUUUUUUUUUUUUAGUUUACAGUUGAGAAAUGGAUAG
rnacentral:misc_RNA from 1 species